ensembl:lncRNA LINC01115 long intergenic non-protein coding RNA 1115
CCUCGCAGGCAGCGCGUUUACAUCAGAGCUCCCGAGUCCACGCACCUCGCAGGCAGCGCGUUUACGUCAGAGCGCCCGAGUCCACGGACCUCGCAGGCAGCGCGUUUACGUCAGAGCUCCCGAGUCCACGCACCUCGCAGGCAGUACGUUUACCUCAGAGCUCCCGAGUCCACCGACCUCGCAGGCAGCGCGUUUACGUCAGAGCUCCCGAGUCCACGCACCUCGCAGGCAGUGUAUUUACAUGGAAAUUGGAUCGAGGCACUGACGUUUAAAUCUUGGCUCCUGCUCCUGCCGUCUAGACAAAGGGCGCACCCAUUGCCGUCUCAGACACCAGAGGCUCCCACUUGACCAGGGGAAGCUGUUCAUGUUCUAUCCUGCGUGUUCUCGAGAAAGUUUUGAUGACAGAAAACAUCACACAGAAAGGGGAAGGCAUCGCAAGUUUCCAGCUCCAUGGAUUUUUGCAAACUGAGCACAUUUGUGGGCCAGGAGUGGGGCCCACAGCGAGAAUAUCCUUCCUGCUGCUCCUGCCAUCCAUCCACCAGCACAGCCAGUUCCCAGCUGUGGAACACACAGUGCUGAAGGCUGGGAGUCCAAGAUCAAGUUGCUGGCAGGGUCGGUGUCUGGUGAAGGCUGCUGUCUGUAUCCAAGGUGGCCUUGGGGCGGGUGCCUGGUCCUCACUGGGUGGUAGGCGGAAGGCCUGUGGCAGCCUUAGCCGCCUUCCUCCAGCCCCUGCACAAGGCAAUCAUCCCUUCACUUCCCAAGGGCCCCGCAUCCUCACGCCACCACAAUGGGAUUCAGUUUCAACAUGAAUUUGAAGGGUCACACGUUGAAACCACAGUAGACUCUCUUUUUUUAAAUUUAGAGCUGUGCACUGUUGAGUUGAUCACGAUGAGAACAGUGAGUGUCUCUCACCUGUGGCUGCACUUGCUGGAAGCACCGCCUGCUCUGGCCUCUUUGCUCCAGAACAUUCCCUGCUGAACAGUGACACCAGGGAAGGCCAAGGAUGGGCACACAAGGCUCAGUCCUUCACCUGAUGGCGGCUUGGCCAUGUUCAUCUUUCCCUUUUCUCAAAGACCUGUGUGGGGCCAGAGAAAGCUGGGGUUUCCGGUGGCCUGCAGUGUGGCAGAAAGCAGAGCCUUCCACUGGGAAAAGGGGAAAAAGGGAAUUCUUCCGAAGAGAAGGAUGAAGCCAGCAGCAGGGGUCCCGGCAGGCCUGACCCCCAUGGAGCUGAUGAGGCCGAGUGUCAGGAAGCACUCCCAUUGUCCUCGAAAACAGACACAGGUCAACCUGCGUUACGGGGUCUGCGAGGUCAUCAGAUAACCCCACAGUGUCGAAUACUGUAACUACAUGCCUGCCUAAGAUGACCUGGUAUACUGUAGGUGCACACAAGAUUCUCCAUAGUGAAAGUACAUAUACAAUUGUUGCUAAUUUUUGAUCCUAGAAAAUCCACUGGAUUGAUACUUUAGAAGAGGAUAA